GACGAACGCUGGCGGCGUGCUUAACACAUGCAAGUCGAACGGAAAGUCCCUGCUUUUGUGGGGUGCUCGAGUGGCGAACGGGUGAGUAACACGUGAGUAACCUGCCCUUGACUUUGGGAUAACUUCAGGAAACUUGGGCUAAUACCGGAUAGGAGCUCCUGCUUCAUGGUGGGGGUUGGAAAGUCUCGGCGGUUGGGGAUGUACUCGCGGCUUAUCAGCUUGUUGGUGGGGUAGUGUCUUACCAAGGCUUGGACGGGUAGCCGGCCUGAGAGGGUGACCGGCCACAUUGGGACUGAGAUACGGCACAGACUCCUACGGGAGGCAGCAGUGGGGAAUAUUGCACAACGGGCGGAAGCAUGAUGCAGCAACGCCGCGUGCGGGAUAACGGCCUGCGGGUUGUAAACCGCUUUCGCCUGUGACGAAGCGUGAGUGACGGUAAUGGGUAAAGAAGCACCGGCUAACUACGUG
rnacentral:rRNA from 1 species